AGAGUUUGAUCAUGGCUCAGGAUGAACGCUAGCGGCAGGCUUAACACAUGCAAGUCGAGGGGUAUAGGUUUUCGGACCUAGAGACCGGCGCACGGGUGCGUAACGCGUAUGCAAUCUACCUUUUACAGAGGGAUAGCCCAGAGAAAUUUGGAUUAAUACCUCAUAGUAUAUUGAGUUGGCAUCAACACAAUAUUAAAGUCACAACGGUAAAAGAUGAGCAUGCGUCCCAUUAGCUAGUUGGUAAGGUAACGGCUUACCAAGGCAACGAUGGGUAGGGGUCCUGAGAGGGAGAUCCCCCACACUGGUACUGAGACACGGACCAGACUCCUACGGGAGGCAGCAGUGAGGAAUAUUGGUCAAUGGGCGCAAGCCUGAACCAGCCAUGCCGCGUGCAGGAUGAAGCAUCUAUGGUGUGUAAACUGCUUUUGUACGAGAAGAAACACUCCUACGUGUAGGAGCUUGACGGUAUCGUAAGAAUAAGGACCGGCUAACUCCGUGCCAGCAGCCGCGGUAAUACGGAGGGUCCAAGCGUUAUCCGGAAUCAUUGGGUUUAAAGGGUCCGUAGGCGGUUUUGUAAGUCAGUGGUGAAAGCCCAUCGCUCAACGGUGGAACGGCCAUUGAUACUGCAAGACUUGAAUUAUUGGGAAGUAACUAGAAUAUGUAGUGUAGCGGUGAAAUGCUUAGAGAUUACAUGGAAUACCAAUUGCGAAGGCAGGUUACUACCAAUAUAUUGACGCUGAUGGACGAAAGCGUGGGGAGCGAACAGGAUUAGAUACCCUAGUAGUCC
rnacentral:rRNA from 1 species